ACUGCAGAGCCCCGCCGCCCCGCAGCCCUGCCCGCAGCGCCCCAUCUGCACCUUCUGCCUCAGCGAGCAGCGCAAGCGGCACCGAGAGGCCGAGGGGCCGCUGGCGGUGUGAGCUGCGGACCGAGAAGCUCGCGGCGGAGGGAAGCAGAAUUCUGCGCUGCCCUCCGACAGUUGCUUCUUGAGCCCUCGUGCUUCGGUUCGCGCCGCUGCGGGUUUGUUCGGGGGCACCGUGAGCAUGAAAUCGAACCCUGCGGAGACGCUUGCACCUGGCGCAGCAGCUAUUUUCGCACAAGAAACGUUAAACCUGAGCAUCCCGGCGGCCCCGCUGCCUCCCCAACCUGUGUCACAUGGUGGAACCUGACCCGCCCCACGCACCGCCGGCAGGGGCUGACACGAGGCCGCCCACUCCUCCUCACGACCCCAUCAGCAGCCCCAGGGAAAGGUUCCUUCGGGGUGUGAGAAGCUCCCGCUGCCAGCACUUCGUGUCCCAGCCCGGCAGCACGUGAUGCCUUUCCCUUCUUAACAGAGAAGCUCCCCCCAGCCCUCCUAAUAGCAGCGGGUGGUGGUAUGACUGGCAGCAGCUGUGCAAUAGAGGGGGGUUCCCAAGGGCUCUCUAAAAUUACCCCUCACCGAGGCCGUUCCUCUGUUGUGCCUGUAUGACACUGAUGUCACCUAUCUCCCUGCCAUUUAUUAACUUACAUGCUCUGUGUGCUUGCUUUUUAACAAAACUAAAAGCAGAUGUGCAUGGGAUGGUUUUGGUCCGUGAAUAAAGUGGCAAGCUAGACAUAUAAGGCCCACUAGUGGUGGAUUGAAAAUAUAGCUGCUGUCUUUUACGUAGUUACAUACACAAUCAUAGAAUCCUUAGAGUUGAGAGGAACCUCUGAAGGCCAUCUAUUCCAACUACCCUGCAAGCAACAGGGACACCACAGCUAGAGCAGAUUGCCCAAGGCCUUAUAUAUUUCAUUAGCCCUUUAUUAUUCAUUUUACUUUGUGAAGUACUUUCUAUUCUUUAAAAGUUUCUAACAGUACCGCUGAGAAGUGCUCCAGAAACAACUGCCCUUUUUGCCUCCCCAGUGCCAGCUGUUCAGUUCUCCUCCACAGCCAGAUUUGAGGGCUGAAGGAGCAGCACUCAUGAACUGCACUGUGAAGGGUCUGAAGCACAGACCUACGGGGAGCAGCAGCAGGAGCUGGGGUUGUUCAGUCUGGAGGAGAGGAGGCUCAGGGGAGAUUCAAAGCACAAAGCCAAUUCUAGCAUAUAUUAUAAAGAACUAGUAUCAUUACCAAGAACAUCUUGGUGUAUUGCUUAUGCAAAAGCACAUUUUGGUUUUCUUUCUCACCUCCCCAACGCACGCUGCCUUAUUUUGACACACACAAAAAAAA